GCCCCAAUAGCUAGCCCAACUUAAAAACACAACAACCCAUAUUAAUAACCCCUCAACACCGACCGCUAAAUAAGUAAACCAUUUUUCCGCCCAAGUAUCUGCGACAGAAAAGGACCUGAGGAGCAAUAGAAAAAGUACCGCAAGGGAAAGCUGAAAGAGAAAUGAAAAAAUUCAGUCAAGGAAUAGAAAGCAGAGUUUUAAUCUCGUACCUUUUGCAUCAUGAGAAGAGAAAUGAAACCUCGCCGUCAGCAUAAGAAAAGCAAA
rnacentral:rRNA from 1 species